CCCAAUUAACCCCAAGCCUGCGAUUUUUCUUGCCCAACAAUUCGAAUUGACGACAUUUUCGCUCCUCUUCCUUCUUCGCGUCGGAGAAGACUGGCCCACUAAUUCCGGCAAGGACGGCCAUUUUCAGUCGACGAGUUUAUGGUGGCAAUAUGAUGAAGAUGGAUUUCUCCUCCAGAUGCUAAUUUUGUAGUCUUGCAUUCUGAAUUUUUCUUGCCCCAAAAAGCUCAAAAUGCUGAAUUGCUGAAUUUCAUAAAAUUGCUGAAUUUCUUCCCCAAUUUUGCAUUCAAAAAUUGCUGAAUUUCUUCUCCAAUUUCUCUUCCAGAUGCUAAUUUUGUUGUGGAGUAGAUUUAUGGAUUUCCUCCCAAAAAUUCGGAUGCUAAUCUCUCCUCCCAAAUGCAGAGUAGAUUUUGGAUGCUAAACGUGGAAGGGAUUUUGGAAUCUCCUCCAGAUGCUAAUUUUGAAAUUUGACAGACACGUUUAACACAAACACACAUCAAUUAUUGAAACUCGCAGAAUGUGCUACGACGUGACAAUCAGAAUGUGCUAGGACGUAGAUUAUAUAAAAAAAAUACUUAUAGUGCCCAUAGAAUCAUAAGACGAGAGCUUCGACAGUCGUGAGUCGGUCAUUACACUGAAGAAAAAAAAACAUUCAGAGAUGUAGUAGUAAGCAUUGAAAGCAUGCUUGUAGUUGCGUGUCAUUCAUUUCUUCUAAAAUUUGUGCAUGACAACAUCGAUAUUUCACAGGAAGCUUACGAAACAAGACAACAAAACAAGCAUGUCGAGUAUCUGCUCGACAUGAUCGAAAUUU